CCGGACUGUCUGACUGGUUUUUUUCAGCAGUGAUUGUAAAUGGAGACUGAACGGAGAGGCAUCAAGGCUGGACAACCAGGGCUACAAGUAGAACACAAAACAACGUGACAUUAACAGUUGGCAUUCAUGAGCUUUUAUUGACAAAUGGCAACAAAUUUAAAAAAGUCAGCCAAGCAAGAACCUAAUAAUAAUGAAUUUAUAUGAAUGCUGUAAGUACAUACAUUUUUUUCUCACAAUGUUUAACAGGGGUUAAAAGUCCAAAACACACCAGUGUCCCGAUGGGACUCAUUGGGUUUGACUUCCUCAUGGUAUUAAAAAUCAUUUAAGUCUGAUUCAUUUUACAGAAUUAUACAAAAUACUUUUCAAGUUCAGUAAAAACAUAUAUCAAAAUAAUUGUUCCUGAGGCCUCAGAGUGUGGCGCAGUGUAUCGCAACUCCUUGUGGUUGGCCGGGCGCCUCCAGGCUGACUCCGGUCGUCAGUUCAACGGUUUUUCCUCUGACACAUUGGUGCACUUGGCUUCCGAGGUUAAACGGGCGGGUGUUAAGAGGCGUGGUUUGGCGGGUCAUGUUUCGGAGGACACAUGACUCGACCUUCGCCUCUCCCGAGCCCGUUGGGAAGAUGCAGCGAUGAGACAAGAUCGGAAUUGGAUCGCAAUUGGAUAUCGCUAAACUGGGGAGAAAAGGGUCGUUGUCCUGUUGGAAGGUGAACCUACAACCCAGUCUGAGGUCCUGAGUGCUCUGGAAAAGGUUUUCAUCAAGGAUCUUUGUGCUUUGCUCCGUUCAUCUAACCCUCGAUCCUGACUGGUCUCCCGCAGAUGGAAAACAUCCCCACAGUUUGAUGCUGCCACCACCAUGCUUCAACGUAGGGAUGAUGCCAAUUCCUUCGACCUCAUGGCUUGGUUUUUGCUCUGACAUGCACUGUCAACUGUGGGAUCUUAUAUAGACAGGACCUGAGCCCUAGGACCAUGCCUCAGGACUACCUGGCUUGAUGACUCCUUGCUGUCCCCAGUCCACCUGGCCGUGCUGCUGCUCCAGUUCCAACUGUUCUGCCUGCGGCUAUGGAACCCUGACCUGUUCACCGGACGUGCUACCUGUCCCAGACCUGCUGUCCCAGACCUGCUGGAACCCUGACCUGUUCACCGGACGUGCUACCUGUCCCAGACCUGCUGUUUUCAACUCUCUAGAGACAGCAGGAGCGGUAGAGAUACUCUCAAAGAUUGGCUAUGAAAAAGCCAACUGACACUUACUCUUGUGUUACUGACUUGUUGCGCCCUCGACAACUACUAUGAUUAUUAUUAUUUGACCAUGCUGGACAUUUAUGAACAUUUGAACAUCUUGGCCAUGUGCUGUUAUAAUCUCCACCCGGCACAGCCAGAAGAGGACUGGCCACCCCUCAUGGCCUGGUUCCUCUCUAGGUUUCUUCCUAGGUUUUGGCCUUUCUAGGGAGUUUUUCCUAGCCACCGUGCUUCUACACCUGCAUUGCUUGCUGUUGGGG
rnacentral:lncRNA from 1 species